rnacentral:lncRNA from 1 species
UUUACAUACGAAUACCAUAAAGACCAAUGUCGCUGACCGGGAUGACCUAACCGACCUCCGGUACCACAUCCCAUAGCUACCCGAACGCGUGCCCUAGCCCACGUUGAUGCGAGUUGGUUCAUUGAUUAGUCGGAAACAUACCUAAAGGCAAAAAAAAAUUGAAGUAUUGAGAUACUCGAUGCCUUACACGGAUGGGUGCGAGUAAAAAAUGAUAAGGAUG